rnacentral:lncRNA from 1 species
GUAUCAAAGUACGACAGAAUUAAACAUGGACACUCUUCCAUAGGAAGGUGACUGGCACAUCGUUAGAAUUUAAUACUCGUCGACAUCAUCUGCAAUGUCUUCGUCAUCACCCUCUGAUCAAAAUAUUAGCAAGGGUGAGCUCACUUAUGGUCGGGGCUCAGCAAGUGGGGGAAAUAAUGCAAAGUUCACAAGGUAGGCUAUGGAUAAGCGCUAAGCAUUUUAUUUGGUCAAUAUUUUAUUAGCAACACCUGACUUACUAAUUGUAAGUGUAUCUCAAAAUUCCCAAUUAAACAUAAGUACAUGAUUAUAUCUCAAAACACUUAAGUGAAAUCACUUAAGCAAACCACUGGUGAAUCAUCGGAUCACAAUUUAUUUUCCAUCUUUAAGUUUAAUUAUCAUGUGAGGGUCCAGGUUGCUCUUAACUGUGAGCACGGCUGACAUAUCAGUUUUACACUCUGCAGAGGUGAUACAACUUUACCCACAAGCCGUGUAUCCCAUCUAGCCUGGGUUGAUCGGACCCAUAAACACUGCCUAGGUGAAUGACUAGGGAUCCACUAUGAGGCUUUCACAAAAUAUUUUUAGUACAAAGCCCCCCGCUAAGGUUUCCAUGUCAGUAUUGAUGGCCCUCUAGGUGAGGUAACUUAGCCAAGACUACCACCCAUGUUAACAUGAGCUGCCACCAAACUACUGCCGCCCCCUCUUGCCCAUCUUUCAGGUAGGGUUGCUAAGCACUAAGUCUAUAGAGCUAAUUACCAAAGCCAGAGUCAUUAUAACACUCGUGGUUGCACUGUUAUCCUGGGUGGUCACUCCAUGUUCCAUUUAAUACAAAUGUUCUUGUUUAACCAUCGGGUUAACAUCAUAAAUAAAAGUUCAUUUCCGGAACAUAGUAUCAUUAAAAGAGUGACAUCAUAUUUAUCAAGUUAGGCAAUAGCAAAAAUUGCUAAGCAUAACAUUUAUCCCAUGGUAAUCAAGGAAUAGGGUUGGUAAUUUUAGGAAAUCCUUAUUUAGGCAAACCCCAUCAAAUUAUGCAAUAUCCGAAAAGUAAACAUUAUUAUAUGCAUUAUUUGGGUACAAAUAGAAAUGCAUAGAGAGAAUCCACUUGCCUUGCACGAAAGUGCCAUGUGGGUCGUCCUCGAACGAGUUUGGUUCGUCUACCUCACAGUCAACUUCUAGCAUUGAUUUGUGUAUCGUACAUACAAAAGAUUACAUACGCUAAAUAAAUAAACAUUCACCAUUACAUGGGUAACAUUCACCGUUACAUAAACAAUCACAUAUCACGCAACGAUACUUGUAAAUAAUGUCUAAAUCAUAACUAUUUUAUUAAUCCACUAGAUUUAUCAUUGGUGAAAAUAUAUGAGCAGGUGACUACGAAGCUAGUUUAUCUAAUAUAACGCAGAUAAAAUGACUUAACAAACUUUACGGUCUUUAUUACUAAUAAUAGUCUUUUGGGUUCUAUCCAUUCCUUUCUAAAUAGAAAUUGUACAUAUUGCUAAAAAUGCUUAUUUAUAAAUCACAUAACAUUAAUAUUCUAAAAAUUAAUGUAAAUUACUAAUUUUGGACUUUAGUAACAUAAUCAUGGUUAUUUUGACAUAAAUAGAUAUUUUACUAAUUCUAAGUAAUUAAAUGCUAUAUGUAUGAACACAUAUAUCAUGACUAGUAAAAAUCUAAAUUUUAACAUGACCAAGAAGAUGUGGCCUAGUACCUCUUUCAAUUUCCUAUAUUAGUAAAACUAUACUUAAACAUCUACUAAUAUAAUAUCGUUUUAUGCGCCAAAAUGGGAAGUUAAUCGCAAACAUUUCUAGUAUUUAAAUCACCAAGUUAGUGAAUCGUGACAUUAUUUAUUUUCGAAAUAUAAAAUAAUACUCAUGUCUAAAAUAUUGUUGCAGGGGCUGGUUCACAAUUAAGCGUAUACAUCAGGGCGUAGCAAGAAAUAAACAGGGGGUCUCUUUUUAAUGGUUUCUGGAUUGAACAAAAUUUAUACAAAAUCCAGGGGCUAAAACACAAAACUGUCAUCUUCUACCUUGGGCUAGCUUGUGCGCAGGGAGGGCUCGACGAUGGGGGAAUGGGACUCCGGCGUGGCUUGGCUGGGACGGGGUGGCGCGACACGAGCGCGCGCGACGAGGCAGGGCUCAGCAUUACGGACGGCGAAGCGCGCAGGGGCUCCGGCGAACGGUGGCGAGGUCCGGUGAGUAGAGCGCGGGCGCGGAUGUGAGAGAGAGAGAGUGAGGGAGAGGCUUGGGUGUGGGGAGAGAGCUCCGGCUCGACCGAUCCUUUUAUAGAGAGAGAGGGAGAAGGGAAGGGGCGCCGAGGGAGGAGGAGGGACACCAGUGGCUCCAUCAAUGGCCACUAAUGGCGCGCGGUUACUCCUUUGAUGGAGAGAGGGAGUGGGGAGUGAAUGGAGGAGAAGAGGAAGGGAGAGGAGUUUGACAGUUUUGGGCGUGGGGAGGCAAGGGGAUGCCGAGGCAGCUUGGCCAGGGAGCGCGGCUCGGCCGGCGCGGGUGGCGCGGCGGCGCGAGGUGGAAGGAACACCUAACGGGUGGGUCCCAUCUGGCGGUGAGAGAGGGAGGGAGGGAGGAGGUGGCGCGGCGGCCGGGCCGCAAAUGGGCCAAAUUUGGACUGUUUAGAUUAGGGUUUUCUGCCGAUUUGUCUUUUCUUUUUUAUAAAAAAUAUAAAUAAACAUAUUUUUAAAUAUUUCUAAAAAUCAUAAUAAGUAUACCAAAAUUAUUUAUAACUAAAAUACUAAUCUUUGAACCAAUGUUUUUAUAUUAAUUAAUUGUACUUUCAAUAUAAAAAAAAUUCUACGAAACAACCAUAAAUCAAAUAUAAGCAAAUAAAAAUUAUUAUAAAGGCAAAUAAAAUCAAACACUUAAAAAAAUUCUUUACUACUAUUACUAUUAAUAUUCUAAAUGUAUUAUUUUUAGUUGAUGGUUUUGAGGUGUUACAAUAAGAGAGGCGGAGACAUACCAGUUGGACGGCGGUGGCAGCGACCUGCUCUAGGACGGCGGCGGCGAGGUAGUCAGGUAGAGUGUCCAUGCGUGAUCGGCUCGCCCUUCCGUGUCUGUUCGAUUGAAGGAAGGCAACGUCUGGCCAUGCGAAACGUCCGUCCAGGAAGGAGACAGGAGAGACCAGGGCGCCAGCUGCAAAAAUUUCAACGCCAAAAUUGAAGGUUACCGUUGGAUGUAGAGAUGGUAAUGAGCCCCGAUCUCCGGUUCCCCGCGGGAAAUUUCUCCAUUAGGGGAUGAGGAUGGAGAAGGUUCUCCCCUCGCGGGGAUGUAAACGGGGAAAAAUCCUCCUCCGAUGGGUAAACGGAGACGGGAUGGGGAAACAUUCCUCAUCUCCGUUCCCCGCGGGGACCCGUUAAACUUAUAUAUGAUGAUGUUUUCAUGUAAUAUAUAAUGAUAAAAAUAAAUAAUUACGUUGUUAAAAGAUAACUCGUUGUACAAAUAUGUUAUUU